CUGAGAAGAGGGGGUCAACAAGAUGUCUUUGCACAACCUGGCCAGUGUUUGGUCCGACUCUGCUGCGGCCGUCAGAGAAAGACAGCAAACUCUCCAGCAGCUCCACGCCCAUCUCUAUGAACGACAGCUGGUCUCUGGAGGUCAUGUGUCAGGUUCAAGUCCUCCUCUACUUCCUUCAGCUGGAGGGAUCCCAACCCCGACAGCAAGCGUCAAAGCCUCUCUUCACCACUGAAGUAUAACGGGAACAUGGUGCACUGAUUAUUCUGUGCACAGGCUGAAUAUCUGAGGAUUAAUGAGGCGGACCCUGCUGUGUUACUGUGAGGACGCUUCAUGUGGCCACUAGGUGGACUCAGCAACACAUUAAACUGGAAACAGCCAUAAUCACCACAGCCUGCUGUCAGAAGAAGAUAUAGGAAACAUAUCAUCCCUUUUUUAAUUUAAAAUGAUUUGCUGUUCUGUUCCACUGUGAACAUUAGCCAUAUGCACAGAGGAGGGAUUUCUGCUGUAUUAAGAUUUAUUUCUGAUAUAUAAAGCUCACCUGUGCCAAUGUGUCCCCCUGCUGAUGACCAAACAUUACCCUAAAUGUUUACCUUCAUUUUGUACAGUUUUUUUUUAAAAUAUUGAGACUGAAAACUGUAGUUACACAAAGCAACGUGCAGGCAUGUGACCUUACCUUUUAAAGUGUGCAGGUUAUACAAUUUGUUAGUGACCUUAUUCAGUUUGCAGCUGCUUCUGGUGGCAGUGUUGUAUGCGAUAUGAGGGCUUUAUAUGGGACGUGGUACAGAGAAGAAUAGGCUAAUCAUUCCAGGAUAUGUAAUGAAUGCUGUGCUGUGUAUAAUUUUAAUUUCAAAUGUUUUUGUCUGUAUGUUAAUAUGUUGUUCCAUGUUUGAUGUCUGAUUUUAAGAGGCCCUAUUAUGCUUUUUUUCCCUUCUGGUUUUCCCUUUCCUGUAGUUUGUUAUAUAGGUUUUUGUGCAUUUAAAUGGUCUGCAAAGGCAAAAAUCCCUGUAACGCCUCCAUUUGACUCCUUUGUUUACUUCCAGAACAUGGUAACAUCACUAUGUAACACUCACACUUGUAUUGGCUAGCGCUCCAACAAAUUGUACUUGAUUGAGUAAGGGGCGGGACAUCUCUAAGCGGUUGACCAAUCAAAACAGAGCUAGCCAGCUAACCAAUCAGAGCAGACUGAGGUGCUGCAGCACAGCUUUUUGAACAUUAAAGCAUAGAGACAUGACACAGUAGAUGCACUAAAUACUGAUACUGUAUACACCUGAACAUGAACAUAAUAGGGCCUCUUUAAUUAAUUAUGUAUAUGUGUUGCUUCCUGCUGCAUUCCUUCUCUGUAGUCCACCUUUAAAAGGACAAAACCACACUGCUGUAGUAGGAAUAAAAUCACCUGGAUUUUAAAUACUAAAUGUUUCCUCUUAGGACCUACUUAAAGCACAGUUAUUCACUCAUAUUCAAGUCUCCUGGCAUAGGGUUAUCAUGUACCUAUAGUGUUACUGAAAAUACACUGUGUUCUUGCAUUAAUAUGGUUUUUUCCCAAUCACUGCUGCAAGUAUUGAAACACUUGCUGGCACAAUCCUUAUCCCUAAAGGCUUAUGUAUAAUAAAAAGCAAUAACUGUUAGUGAUUCUUAGGAUGAGACUUCUUGUAUGUAUGAUUGUGUAAAUAAAAACUUGGUAACAUUA